CGGGUGAGUAACACGUGGGUAACCUACCCAUCAGCGGGGGAUAACACUUGGAAACAGGUGCUAAUACCGCAUAAUUGCUUUUACUGCAUGGUAGAAGUAUGAAAAGACGCUUUCGGGUGUCACUGAUGGAUGGACCCCGCGGUGCAUUAGCUAGUUGGUGAGAUAAAAAGCCCCACCAAGGCAAUGAUGCAUAGCCGACCUGAGAGGGUGAUCGGCCACACUGGGACUGAGACACGGCCCAG
rnacentral:rRNA from 1 species